rnacentral:misc_RNA from 1 species
AGAAAGUAAGUUGCAAUAGCUGUUUCAUGAAAUACUAUAUUCUACAGCGCCAAUAGAAGAAAUAUACUUCCUUUGUAAGAAAUAGUUAAUGUGCGACAAUUUUUGCAAUAUAAUUUAAAUAGCUAAUACAUGCAGAUGUACAUUAAUUAUGGUAACAGAAAUGUAGAACACUUAAUGAUCACAGCAAAGAUAGAACUUGGAACCAUUAAAACAUUAUACAGUGCUAAUACAGCCUUUUAUUGUCAUCUCUAACGGACGUGUAAAAAAGCAAGAACAAGAAACACAUAUAUCCAAUUUCACAAGGCUGCAACUGAGAAAACAAGGUGCUGCUUGACAUGUAAGCGUAAUCCAUUUUGUUUAAACUGACUAUGGAUCCGUCAGCCUAGAUCAGGAUGCAUAGAGAGGCUCUGGCUCCACUUUUCGUCUGAUCCAAUUAUCUUGUGCCCAUUUACAGCCAUCAGUAUCCACCACAUGCAAGCUGUAUGCAUGCCUUGAUUUUGGAGACUGGUUCUCAAAACUUUGAUGAAUAAGAUCACCAUGAAUGAUGACCAAAGAACCAGCUUUUACUUCAAUAGGCACAAAAUCCUUUUGGUCAUAAGAAGGGAAAGGCCGAUCAAAAUACACCCCUUGUUCACCUCUAAGAAACCUUCUGACCAGACCAUUUUUAUGAGAUCCAGGAAUGGCCCAGAGGCAACCAUUUUGUAUUGUUGCAUCUUCCAAGGCCAGCCACAGCCCUGUGCAAGUUGUUGGCUCAGUAUACAGAAAUGAGUUGUCCUGGUGAGGCACUACUUCACCUCCAAUACCUGGUUGCUUAAAUAUGUACAUAGACUGAAUAACCACUGGCCUCUUGUAACCCAAGGAAAGUAGCAUACUUGAAAAUUUCUCAGAGCUAGAGAAGUUUUUGAACACUGGGUCAUGCUCAUGUAAUGCAUGGCCAACUUUGUUAAUAGAGAGCUCCUUUGGUUGCUGCAAGUUUCCAUCCUCUCCAAAUGCUUUCUCUUCGAAAAAAAAAGAAAUCUUCUCGGAGCUCUCGAAGAAGUAAUUGUCAGUUAACUUUUGCUGAUUCUUGGUGGAGAAAAUUGAGGCGGUGGAGGAGCAGUCAAAAUCAUCAAGCAAUUG